rnacentral:tRNA from 1 species
GAGGCCUUAGCUUAAUUAAAGCGCUUGAGUUGCAGUCAAAGUAUGUAAGUUAGGAUUUUACAGGUCUUC